UGGGGAAUUUUGGACAAUGGGGGAAACCCUGAUCCAGCCAUCCCGCGUGUGCGAUGAAGGCCUUCGGGUUGUAAAGCACUUUUGGCAGGAAAGAAACGUCAUGGGUUAAUACCCCGUGAAACUGACGGUACCUACAGAAUAAGCACCGGCUAACUACGUGCCAGCAGCCGCGGUAAUACGUAGGGUGCAAGCGUUAAUCGGAAUUACUGGGCGUAAAGCGUGCGCAGGCGGUUCGGAAAGAAAGAUGUGAAAUCCCAGAGCUCAACUUUGGAACUGCAUUUUUAACUACCGGGAUAGAGUGUGUUAGAGGGAGGUGGAAUUCCGCGUGUAGCAGUGAAAUGCGUAGAUAUGCGGAGGAACACCGAUGGCGAAGGCAGCCUCCUGGGAUAACACUGACGCUCAUGCACGAAAGCGUGGGGAGCAAACAGG
rnacentral:rRNA from 1 species